GGAUAACCGUAGUAAUUCUAGAGCUAAUACAUGCGUUACGCCAAACUUCUGGAAUGGCAGUAUUUAUUAGAUAACAAAUCAAUAUUCCUCUGGUCUAUUUGAUGAUUCAUAAUAACUAGCUUAUCGAAUCGCUGGGUUGUACCCGCGAUAAAUCAAUCAAGUUUCUGCCCCAUCAGCUUGAUGGUAGUGUAUUGGACUACCAUGGCUUUUACGGGUAACGGGGGAUUAGGGUUCGACACCGGAGAGGGAGCCUGAGAAACGGCUACCACUUCUACGGAAGGCAGCAGGCGCGUAAAUUACCCAAUCCUAAUUCAGGGAGGUAGUGACAAGAAUAAUAGACCGGCGUAAGCCGGGUUUACAAUGAGCCUAAUUUACACAGCUUAGUGAGGAUCCAUUGAGGGCAAGUCUGGUGCCAGCAGCCGCGGUAAUUCCAGCUCC
rnacentral:rRNA from 1 species